AUGAGCUAUUUUUUCGAACUGGGAUACGGCCUAGGGUUGUUCAUUAUCAUUUUCAUCUGUGUGGGUAUCGUCGGUUGCUGUGUAGCUCUCUGCUGCUGCUGUUGCAAGAAAAGAAACCCGCAAAGGCACCAAAAUGUGACUACAGUAGUGUACACACAUCCGUCUUCUUCCCAAAUACCCGUUUCUGGGCCUCAGCCACAGUACCCAGCUUACCAGCCAGUACCUCAGCAAGCACACGGCGUACCUUACAUGACAGCACCUCCACCAUCAUACCAGGAAGCUACUGAUCCAGCUCUCUUGCCACACAACCCAGGGAUGAUGUUCCUCCACCCCAGUCAGCCUUCUGGGCACUCAGACGUGCACACACAGUUGCCCUACAAUCCUGCUUUUUACCCAAACACAGCCUCAUUUAACCAACCUGUCAAUAAGUACUGAGUACCACUAGAUGGCGCCACCGUGUUAUGCAUUCCAUUGCAUUCCGCCACCUUCUUAUGCAUUCCAAACAGUCACAAAAGGGUCAAACCUGCUGAUGGUGCUGUAGCUGUGAAGAAAAAUGCCCUCAUAAAUAAUGUUUUGUUUACGUAUUGCUUGCAAUCAAUCGAUAUAGGAUUGAUUUACACAAUUGUUGGUCAAUCCACACACAAAGCUUAAGAAAUGAAACUAUUGCCGUGGCCUUGAUUAUUGAUACUGUUAAACAUCACUAUUUAAGGUCAGUAAAGGUCAGGUCAGUAUAGAACAGCUUUUAUGCACUGUGUAAAAAAUAUUAUUGAUGUCUGUCUGCCUGUGCUAAAGUGAGUUAUGAUAUGGAGAUUUGUAGUUUGGUAUGAUUGUGUCAAUUAUGGCUAAAACAUGUACCGUAUUCUGUAUGUCUGCAGCAUGGGAGGUGGGGCUUGAUGGAAAUUCUCAUAUCAUGAAGGAUCAAAAGCCAAAUACUUUUCUACUGUUUUUUAAUAGGUUUGUAAAACACAAGCAUUAUGUCUUAAAUAGUUCCCAUAAUGCAAUAAAAAUGUUAUUCCCUGCAGUGGGAUGAAACUGCAGUGUUCUGUUCCCGUUCUUCCUUUGGGAUCAUGUGUGGUUGAAUAGCUUUAGUGGGUGUGCUUGCAUUUAAUCCCAUAAUGUCCAGGGCCACUCCCUCUUAUUGCAUCCCUCGCUGUCCAUUAAUCAAUACAGUAUUAGUGCUGACCACAGCAAUCUCAGUCACCAGAUUGGCUCUGGGCUGUGAUGGGAAAACGGCGUGUACAGUACUUCCACCUUAGUGUCUAAAAUAAGAAGCUUUCUCCUUGAAGUGUGGCUCAGACUGCUAAUGAGCAAGGAGGCCAGGCUCAUG
rnacentral:lncRNA from 1 species